rnacentral:rRNA from 1 species
UGGGGAAUAUUGGACAAUGGGGGCAACCCUGAUCCAGCAAUGCCGCGUGUGUGAAGAAGGCCUGCGGGUUGUAAAGCACUUUCAGUAGAGAAGAAAAGCCUAAGGUAAAUAACCUUGAGUCUUGACGUAACCUACAGAAGAAGCACCGGCUAACUCCGUGCCAGCAGCCGCGGUAAUACGGAGGGUGCAAGCGUUAAUCGGAAUUACUGGGCGUAAAGCGCACGUAGGUGGUUUUGUAAGUCGGAUGUGAAAGCCCUGGGCUCAACCUGGGAAUUGCAUUCGAUACUGCUUAACUAGAGUAUGGUAGAGGGAAGUGGAAUUUCCGGUGUAGCGGUGAAAUGCGUAGAUAUCGGAAGGAACACCAGUGGCGAAGGCGGCCACCUGGUUGGAUACUGACGCUGAGACGCGAAAGCGUGGGGAGCAAACAGGAUUAGAUACCCCAGUAUCCCUGAGCGGGCUGGCAAGGCGCAU